rfam:Gossypium hirsutum cultivar TM-1 unplaced genomic scaffold scaffold4672.1, whole genome shotgun sequence
GGGUGUGACAAUACUAGCAGUAAUGCAUAGGAUCCUAUCAGACCUCUGUAGUUUAGCGUGCUUGCGGGAUAGUAGUACUAUGAUGGGUGAUCUUCUGGGAAGUCCUCGUUCUUCACCUU